GGCACGAUGGCUGAGCGGUUAAAGCGUCAGACUAGAAUGCUGAGAAAGUAGAAUGACGAUUCACGAUUCUACAUUUCUCUUCGAUAUCAUCUGAUACCUUCGGGUGCGUAGGUUCGAAUCCUGCUCGUGUCG